GACGUAGGGCGCGAGCGUUGUCCGGAUUUAUUGGGCGUAAAGAGCUCGUAGGCGGUUUGUUGCGUCGGGAGUGAAAACUUCGAGCUUAACUCGGAGCUUGCUUUCGAUACGGGCAGACUUGAGGCAUUCAGGGGAGAACGGAAUUUCCGGUGUAGCGGUGAAAUGCGUAGAUAUCGGAAGGAACACCUGUGGCGAAAGCGGCUCACUGGACCAUUACUGACGCUGAGGCACGAAAGCUAGGGGAGCAAACAGG
rnacentral:rRNA from 1 species